CAGUCGCCACGGUAAUACGUAGGGUGCGAGCGUUAAUCGGAAUUACUGGGCGUAAAGCGUGCGCAGGCGGUUCGUUAAGACAGAUGUGAAAUCCCCGGGCUUAACCUGGGAACUGCAUUUGUGACUGGCGAGCUAGAGUAUGGCAGAGGGGGGUGGAAUUCCGCGUGUAGCAGUGAAAUGCGUAGAUAUGCGGAGGAACACCGAUGGCGAAGGCAGCCCCCUGGGCCAACACUGACGCUCAUGCACGAAAGCGUGGGGAGCAAACAGGAUUAGAUACCCCAGUAGUCCCUGUCUCUUAUAC
rnacentral:rRNA from 1 species